rnacentral:rRNA from 1 species
UACGUAGGGUGCAAGCGUUAUCCGGAAUUAUUGGGCGUAAAGAGCUCGUAGGCGGUUUGUCGCGUCUGCUGUGAAAACUGGAGGCUCAACCUCCAGCUUGCAGUGGGUACGGGCAAACUAGAGUGCGGUAGGGGAGAUUGGAAUUCCUGGUGUAGCGGUGGAAUGCGCAGAUAUCAGGAGGAACACCGAUGGCGAAGGCAGAUCUCUGGGCCGUAACUGACGCUGAGGAGCGAAAGCAUGGGGAGCGAACAGG